GACCCAUUGACGGCAUUCCUCCAGGCUCCCGGAUGUUCUUGUCGGGUUUACCUUCAUCUUUACCCCACUGCCUCUUGGAAACAGCCCCACGUGUGUAUGAAACUGCUGGCCUAGAAGAGAAGAAAGUGUAGCAGGCUUUGGUGAGAAAUCCGGAAGAAAGAAUGUGUGAAAGAAAAAGAUGACAACUAUGCAUGGCAAACAAAAUCCAAAGAUUAUUACAGUGAAAGCAAGAGGAAGUCAGAAGAAUACCUACUAGUAAAGGUGUCGUUACAAAAGAGAGGCAACAGGAAAUGAAAGAGACACACAGAAGAGAAAGCAAUGUGAAGACAGAGGUGGAGGUUAGAGUGACGUGGCCACAAGUCAAGACAUGCUGGCAGGCACCAGGAGCUGGAAGAUGCCAGAAUGGAUUCUAUCCUAGAGUCUCUGCAGAGAGUGUGGCCCUGCUGAUGCUUGAUUUCAGCUGAGAGAAACUGAAUUUGAACUUCUGACUUCCUGAACCUUAAGAGAAGAAAAGGUUGAUGUGUUAAGCUGCUCAUUCUGUGGUAAUUUUUUUUUUAAUUUUUUUAAUGUUUAUUUAUUAUUGAGAGACAGAGAGAGACAGAGCAUGAGCAGGGGAGGGGCAGAGAAAGGAGGAGACAGAAUCCGAAGUAGCCUC